rnacentral:rRNA from 1 species
GGGGGGGACAACGCAGCUAUACAUGCAGUCGAGGGGCAGCAUUAUCGCUUGCGAUAGAUGGCGACCGGCGGACGGGUCCGUUACGCGUAUGCAACCUACCGAUUACCAGGGGAUAGCCCGAACAUAUUUGGAUUAAUACCCUAUAGAACUGUUUAAUUGCAUGAUUGAAUAGUUAAAGAUUUAUUGGUAAUUGAUGGGCAUGCGUCCCAUUAGCUAGUUGGUGAGAUAACGGCUCACCAAGGCGACGAUGGGUAGGGGGUCUGAGAGGAUGAUCCCCCACACUGGUACUGAGAUACGGACCAGACUCCUACGGGAGGCAGCAGUAGGGAAUAUUGGUCAAUGGGCGAGAGCCUGAACCAGCCAUGCCGCGUGCAGGAAGACGGCCUUCUGGGUUGUAAACUGCUUUUAUACAGGAAUAAAAAGGUCUUGCGAGACACAUUGCAUGUACUGUAUGAAUAAGCACCGGCUAACUCCGUGCCAGCAGCCGCGGUAAUACGGAGGGUGCAAGCGUUGUCCGGAUUUAUUGGGUUUAAAGGGUGCGUAGGCGGUUAUUUAAGUCGGUGGUGAAAUCCUCCAGCUCAACUGGGGAACUGCCAAUGAUACUGGAUAACUUGAUUACCGUAUAGGUAGGCGGAGUUUAUGGUGUAGCGGUGAAAUGCAUAGAUACCAUAAAGAACACCGAUAGCGAAGGCAGCUUACUGGUCGUGUAAUGACGCUGAUGCACGAAAGCGUGGGUAGCGAACGGGAUUAGAUACCCCGGUAGUCCACGCCGUAAACCAUGAUCACUCGAUGUGUGCGAUAGACAGUACGCGUCCAACCGAAACGUUAAGUGAUCCCCCUGGGGAGUACGACCCCCAAGUUGAAACUCAA